CAGCAACGCUGCAGCCAUGACCAAGCAGAGUGAGGGGAAUGGAGUAAAGAGAUGACCAAGAGGGGUGAGGUGAAUGGAAGCAACUGGAUGGAGGAGGACAAGCAGGAGUGCAGCUCAGCAAGCAGUGACUUGGAACCACUCCUGACUUCCCCCUGCUGGAUGGAAGGACUCACUUCGCAGCCACCCACAAUGGAAGAAUGUGUUGGACAGUCACUUUCAAUAGCCCUGGCUUUCUGGAGAUGGACUAUAGAUCGUAUGCUGAUAUCUUGAGUUCAUGUCUUGGUGAUGGAACAAAUGGAGAAGGACCAACAAAAUAAGCGGAGGAAAGAUCAAAAUGCUGUUGAAGAUGCAGUGCAGUAAGAGGAGACUUCCUUUCAUUAUUAAAUUUGUUAAAUAAAUUUGUCAA